UACGAAGGGGGCUAGCGUUGCUCGGAAUCACUGGGCGUAAAGCGCACGUAGGCGGAUUGCUAAGUCAGGGUGAAAUCCUGGAGCUCAACUCCAGAACUGCCUUUGAUACUGGCGAUCUUGAGUCCGGGAGAGGUGAGUGGAACUGCGAGUGUAGAGGUGAAAUUCGUAGAUAUUCGCAAGAACACCAGUGGCGAAGGCGGCUCACUGGCCCGGUACUGACGCUGAGGCACGAAAGCGUGGGAGCAAACAGG
rnacentral:rRNA from 1 species